rfam:Heterocephalus glaber contig38406, whole genome shotgun sequence.
GGGGAUGUAGCUUAGCGGUGCAGUGCCUGCCUGACAAGCAAGAGACCCUGAGUUCAAUUCCCAGUACCA